rnacentral:misc_RNA from 1 species
AUUUUUUUAAUUAAUUAAAUUUUCUUCUCUUUCCUUAAUCAACCAAACUCCAAUUCUUGAUCAACCAAAACUUCAAACAUCAGGUAUGGCUGAAGUGUUGGGAAUGUUUACAGUACAACAGACCAUAGGAAAUGUGUUAUGCUGCAAAUGCGGAAUCUCGAUGCAGCCAAAUGCUGCAAAUAUGUGCGCUAAAUGCUUGCGAUCUGAAGUUGAUAUAACAGAAGACUUACAGAAACAUGUAGUGAUUAUUCAUUGUCCUGAAUGUGAUGGCUAUUUGCAGCCUCCAAGGAGUUGGAUCAAAGCACAGCUCGAAUCGAAGGAGUUACUCACUUUUUGUAUCAAGAAGUUGAAGAAUUUGAAUAAAGUUAAGUUGGUGAAUGCCGAGUUCAUUUGGACUGAGCCUCAUUCGAAAAGGAUCAAAAUUAGGCUUAAAGUCCAAAAAGAGGUACUAAAUGGAGCGGUUCUUGAACAAUCGUACAUUGUCGAGUAUGUUGUCCAAGACCAAAUGUGUGAUCCGUGUUCGAAGGUGCAAGUUAAUCCUGAUCAAUGGGUGGCUGCAGUGCAACUUAGACAGCACGUGUCUCACCGAAGAACGUUCUUCUAUUUGGAGCAGCUGAUUAUUAAGCACGACGCUGCUAAUCGUGCUAUAAAGAUUCAACAGUUGGAUCAGGGAAUUGAUUUCUUCUUUGGUCAUAGAAGUCAUGCUUUGAAGUUUGUGGAUUUUGUCAGUAGGAUGGUACUUGUUAGGACCCGAAAUGCCAAGCAACUCGCUUCUCAUGAUCAUAAGAGCAAUAUCGUCAAUUAUAAGUACACAUUCUCUGUAGAAAUCAGCCCAGUUUGUCGUGAGGAUCUGAUAUGUCUCCCUCCAAAGGUGGCAGGUAGUUUAGGAAAUAUCGGUCCUCUAGUGAUCUGCACGAAAGUAAGCAACAGUAUCUCUCUAUUAGAUCCGUUCACGUUGAGGCAUUGUUUUCUAGAUGCUGAUCAGUACUGGAGGGCGUCGUUUAAGCCUUUACUAUCUAGUAGACAGCUUGUCGAGUAUGUGGUUUUAGAUGUUGAUGUGGUUUCUGAAGAAGUUAAUAUUGGAGGCUCGAAGUAUGUUUUAGCUGAUAUCCAAGUUGCUCGUGUUUCUGAUUUCGGGAAAAAUGACACAAUAUUCUCCGUAAGAACGCAUCUAGGCCAUCUUCUGGAUGCUGGAGACUAUGCCCUCGGUUAUGAUUUAUAUCGAGCCAAUACUAAUGAUUUUCAGCUUGAAAAAUACAAAGGUCUUGUCCUUCCAGAGGUGAUAUUGAUUAAGAAAAGCUAUGAAGAGAAACGUCAAAAGAAACGUGGGAAGCCUCGGUCUUGGAAGCUUAAGUCACUCAAUAUGGAAAUUGAUAACUCUGGAAAUGGAAAAGAUCAAGAACAAAAGAUGAACUCGGAGUAUGAGCAUUUCUUGAGAGAUUUAGAGGAGAAUCCUGAUAUGAGGUUCAACAUAUCAUUGUAUCGUGAUAAAGAAUAUCAACGAUCAGAAACUACCUCUGUUGCUGAUGGAGAAGAUGUUCCUUCUAUUCCUUUGGAGGAGUUACUUGCUGAUAUUGAUCUGAGCGAUAUUGAUGUUGAAGAAGAUGCAUAAGGGAGUGAACUGAAGACUCGUGAAUUGGGACCGGAUCUUGUUGUGCAAGUUAGUAGCUUCGUAAAUUUUAUGUCCUGUAUUAGUAGAAUGAAUUUGUUGCACCUGAGCCUAGGGUUCGUAAACAGCCUCUCUACCUCCACGAGGUAGUGG